rnacentral:rRNA from 1 species
ACGGGUGAGUAAUAUAUCGGAACGUGCCCAAUCGUGGGGGAUAACGUAGAGAAAUUUACGCUAAUACCGCAUACGAUCUAAGGAUGAAAGCGGGGGAUCGCAAGACCUCGCGCGAUUGGAGCGGCUGAUAUCAGAUUAGGUUGUUGGUGAGGUAAAAGCUCACCAAGCCGACGAUCUGUAGCUGGUUUGAGAGAACGACCAGCCACACUGGGACUGAGACACGGCCCAGACUCCUACGGGAGGCAGCAGUGGGGAAUUUUGGACAAUGGGCGAAAGCCUGAUCCAGCAAUGCCGCGUGCAGGAAGAAGGCCUUCGGGUUGUAAACUGCUUUUGUACGGAACGAACCGGCUCUUUCUAAUAAAGAGGGCUAAUGACGGUACCGUAAGAAUAAGCACCGGCUAACUACGUGCCAGCAGCCGCGGUAAUACGUAGGGUGCGAGCGUUAAUCGGAAUUACUGGGCGUAAAGCGUGCGCAGGCGGUUAUAUAAGACAGUUGUGAAAUCCCCGGGCUCAACCUGGGAAUUGCAUCUGUGACUGUAUAGCUAGAGUACGGUAGAGGGGGAUGGAAUUCCGCGUGUAGCAGUGAAAUGC